UAAAAAAAAAAAUCUUUUUUUACAGCUAUAUAUAGAUACCCAUCUAGAUUCUUCGUAGCUUUUUCGUUAACAUUGCAUUAAAUUAUAUACAAAAAAAAUUUCAAAUAUUUAUCUAAAUUUAGUAAAUAUUUACUUUAGUACCCUUUAAUUUUAACGGUAUCACUAAUUUAAAAAAAUAAUAAUAAUAAAAUUGAUAAGAAAAAGAGAAAAAAAAAUCACGGGGGGACAAAUUGAUACAUUUUAAACUACAUGGGAAAAAAGUGAGAAACUACGAAACCACAUGGGGGAUUUCUGAAGUUUUCCCUAAACUAAGCCUUAAUCUGCCUCUCGUAGCUUUUGGAGGGCUUUGGUUCGACGUAAACCAAACUAAAAUUUAUAUUUAGGGCCUGUUUGGAUACACAGUAAAAUAUCUCCACGGAAUUUAUAAACUGUGGUUUCGGUCUAGAUAAAAUAGAGAAUCCUGCAACUCUAAAAAAUUCCACGGAUUCAAUUUUUAACCUGUUUGGAUAUGCAUUGUACAAUUUUACAAGAUUUUUCUAAAUUUUAAGAUUAAAAGUUAAAAUUUAAAAUUUCAAAAAAAAUUUAAAAUUUAUAAAUUUGAAAAGUGAAAGGUGAAAAUUUAAAAUUUGAAAUUUAAAUUUGAAAUUUUCAAAUUUGAAAUUUACAAAUUUGAAAUUUGAAAUUUAAAGUUUGAAAUUUAAAAUUUAAAAUUUAAAAUUUUAAUUUAAAAUUUCAAAUGUGAUAUUUCAAAUUUCAAAUUUUAAAUUUUAAAUUUUAAAUCUAUGUUGAAAUUUAAAAUAUAUGUUGAAAUUUAAAAUUUAGAACUUAAUGCAUUUUUUUGAAUAAGGGAGCUAAAGAAUGGUGGAAUUUUUUUCCUUUGGUUAGAGUGGAUUAUACUUUUACUCCAUUUUUUGGAGCAUAGUUUAACUAUACUCCAAAAAUUACGUUACUUUUUUUCCUCCCAAACGCUUCAUAGGAUAUUUUUUCUACCGCCGUAGCUUAGUUUAACUAUGCUACGUUUUCAGGAGUAUCCAAACGGGGCCUUACUAUAAAAAUAUUAUUUUCACUUAUUUGAUCCAAUGUAAAAAAUAUUUUUUAUAAAAGUAAUUUUACAGAUUUGAAAAAAAAUUGAAGUUCAUGUUUUUCACUGUUUUUGGGCAGAAAACGAAUACUCAAGCUGCGUAAAACUUUUUUCGAUCAUUUUUUUCCACCGAAUUAAAUAAAUAUGAAUUUUUUCUUUCGACUAAAUAAAUAUUAGUAAAAAAUUAUUUUUUCUAUAAAUCAAACACUACAAAAUAUAAAUCUUUUUUCCCAUAAAAAAUUAUUUUUUACAGUUUUAUGUUGAACAAAAUGGACCUUAAUUAUUCUAUUACUUUAUUUUUA
rnacentral:lncRNA from 1 species